AUUGAACGCUGGCGGCAGGCCUAACACAUGCAAGUCGAACGGUAACAGGAAACAGCUUGCUGUUUCGCUGACGAGUGGCGGACGGGUGAGUAAUGUCUGGGAAACUGCCUGAUGGAGGGGGAUAACUACUGGAAACGGUAGCUAAUACCGCAUAACGUCGCAAGACCAAAGAGGGGGACCCUCGGGCCUCUUGCCAUCGGAUGCGCCCAGAUGGGAUUAGCUUGUUGGUGGGGUAACGGCUCACCAAGGCGACGAUCCCUAGCUGGUCUGAGAGGAUGACCAGCCACACUGGAACUGAGACACGGUCCAGACUCCUACGGGAGGCAGCAGUGGGGAAUAUUGCACAAUGGGCGCAAGCCUGAUGCAGCCAUGCCGCGUGUAUGAAGAAGGCCUUCGGGUUGUAAAGUACUUUCAGCGGGGAGGAAGGGAGUAAAGUUAAUACCUUUGCUCAUUGACGUUACCCGCAGAAGAAGCACCGGCUAACUCCGUG
rnacentral:rRNA from 1 species